rnacentral:misc_RNA from 1 species
GAUGAAGAACGCAGCGAAAUGCGAUAAGUAAUGUGAAUUGCAGAAUUCAGUGAAUCAUCGAAUCUUUGAACGCACAUUGCGCCCGUCAGUAUUCUGGCGGGCAUGCCUGUUCGAUCGUCAUUACGCCCCUCAAGUCCCCUGUGGACUUGGUGUUGGGGAUCGGCGAGGCUGGUUUUCCAGCACAGCCGUCCCUUAAAUUAAUUGGCGGUCUCGCCGUGGCCCUCCUCUGCGCAGUAGUAAAACACUCGCAACAGGAGCCCGGCGCGGUCCACUGCCGUAAAACCCCCCAACUUUUUAUAGUUGACCUCGAAUCAGGUAGGACUACCCGCUGAACUUAAGCAUAUCAAUAAGCGGAGGA